AACGAACGCUGGCGGCAGGCCUAACACAUGCAAGUCGAACGCUCGUAGCAAUACGAGAGUGGCAGACGGGGGAGUAACACGUGGGAACCUUCCCUAUGGUUCGGAAUAGCCCAGGGAAACUUGGGGUAAUACCGGAUAAGCCCUUACGGGGAAAGAUUCAUCGCCAUUGGAUGGUCCCGCGUCGGAUUAGCUAGUUGGUGGGGUAACGGCUCACCAAGGCGACGAUCCGUAGCUGGUCUGAGAGGAUGAUCAGCCACACUGGGACUGAGACACGGCCCAGACUCCUACGGGAGGCAGCAGUGGGGAAUAUUGGACAAUGGGCGCAAGCCUGAUCCAGCCAUGCCGCGUGAGUGACGAAGGCCUUAGGGUUGUAAAGCUCUUUUGGCGGGGAAGAUAAUGACGGUACCCGCAGAAUAAGCUCCGGCUAACUUCGUGCCAGCCGCCGCCGUAACAC
rnacentral:rRNA from 1 species